AUUGAACGCUGGCGGCAGGCCUAACACAUGCAAGUCGAGCGGAUGAAGGGAGCUUGCUCCUGGAUUCAGCGGCGGACGGGUGAGUAAUGCCUAGGAAUCUGCCUGGUAGUGGGGGCUAACGUCCGGAAACGGGCGCUAAUACCGCAUACGUCCUGAGGGAGAAAGUGGGGGAUCUUCGGACCUCACGCUAUCAGAUGAGCCUAGGUCGGAUUAGCUAGUUGGUGGGGUAAAGGCCUACCAAGGCGACGAACCGUAACUGGUCUGAGAGGAUGAUCAGUCACACUGGAACUGAGACACGGUCCAGACUCCUACGGGAGGCAGCAGUGGGGAAUAUUGGACAAUGGGCGAAAGCCUGAUCCAGCCAUGCCGCGUGUGUGAAGAAGGUCUUCGGAUUGUAAAGCACUUUAAGUUGGGAGGAAGGGCAGUAAGUUAAUACCUUGCUGUUUUGACGGUACCAAAAGAAUAAGCACCGGCUAACUUCGUG
rnacentral:rRNA from 1 species